rnacentral:rRNA from 1 species
UACGUAGGGUGCGAGCGUUGCCCGGAAUUAUUGGGCGUAAAGAGCGCGUAGGCGGUCCGAUAAGUCGGCUGUGAAAGUCAGGGGCUCAACCCUUGGAAGCCGGCCGAUACUGUCGGACUAGAGUCCGGAAGAGGCAAGUGGAAUUCCCGGUGUAGCGGUGAAAUGCGCAGAUAUCGGGAGGAACACCAAUGGCGAAGGCAGCUUGCUGGGACGGUACUGACGCUGAGGCGCGAAAGCGUGGGGAGCAAACAGG